CUUUCUGAUUUUGUCAUCUUUCUCAGAGCGGUGUCAUCAGGUUCGGCUGUCUUUGCACGGACACUGGCUGACUCAUUGAUCUGUGGAAAUACCUAGCCCAGCACUUGACUGGUCCUGCCACCUCUCGCAGCCUCCUGCCCUGUCCCCAGGCCCAGGCAGGUGGUGCAGCCAGGUGUGCACAGGAGUGCAGGGCUCUGCCUGUGUGGUGGAGGCGGCUUGCUCCCCAGUCUUAUACAGUGCUGGGUCAGAUGAUGACAUACUCACACUGCAGCCAAGCUGUUUGUUCCAAUAGCUUUUUCUGGAAAUGAUGUGACACUGCAAGUGGAUCUUCAAAGAAGAAUAAGAAGGGAGAAACUGUGUCUCCUGGUAGUCUACAGUGUCAUGCUCCCACAUGCUGUCAUGCUUCAUUGAUGCUGCAAUAUUUGACAAUAGGACAAAGUUUGCUGAAAAUAAAUGCAGUAAAUUGGUGGAAAAGUGAAGACUUGGACAUGAAGUUGAAGACAUGAAGAGCAAAUCAUCUCCAGUAUAACAGUGUGUCCUGGUUCCAGCUAGGCCAGGCUGUGCAUAACAAUUAAUGUUUGCCUGGUGCCAUGUACAGCCUUCCCAAACCUCCUUCUCUACUGGUCAGUGAGGCUGGCAGUGUGCUCCGCUUCCUGAACUGAGCAUGGGCAGAAGAGGAAGAAUGGAAAGAGUUCAGAGAAGAGCAAAGGAGGGCUGCCCGAGGCCAGACUGCUUCUUUGGAUCAGAUUGCAUUAUCACAUGGUUUGGAGAUUAUGAAAUACAGAAUUGUCAAGUUUCAAUGGCUGCUUUUCAAGGCGUUAAGAACAUACCAGAUGUCAGUCGAAGAAGCUGGAAGAAAUUAAAGCAUCUGGAAAAGACUAUUUAAAUACUACCUAUCUGGCCUGCCUACUGCUGUUAUGGAAAUUCCCCUGUUGCCUCAGUGACCUCCAUUGGCUGGCUGUGUGUGCUCUUGUUGAAAUACCCACUAAAAUCAAGGGUUAGUCUGAAGAGGCCCGGUGCACAUGGUGCUGUGCAGUCGUAUAGUCCAUCCCUGCCAAUGGAUUUUUGAAGCUGUUUGAUUCCCAGCAGAAGCAGGAAGUGGAAGUGUAUGCAGAGUGUAUGCUGUUUGAAGAAAUGGCAUUUCUUGUUCUCUACUGUGCAAGUAGAGGAGAAUACAUGCCAGCAUGCAGGCAUUCUCAAAAACUUGGAGUUCAUUGAUACCCAUUGGCUGAAUAAAGAGGAGCUGUAGACCUGUCCCAGUGUUGUCCAGGAUUAGAGGAACUUUGAUACUCAUCCUAGGCAGACUCCUUGAAGAACUGAACUGCUGAGCUCUUUGAAAAAUUCUGCUGGAUGCAUAAAAAGCAUUCAACUUUCCUUGAAGGAGUUUAUAUUCUUCCAAGUUAAUCCAAGUGGAGCAGAUCUUAUGAGAUCAGGUGAAACUGGAAGAUCUUGACGCGUAUUUAACCUAAAUCAGGAUCUCAGAAAGGAAAACCCUUACAUUCUUCAACUUGGAUAUUCUGUUCUGAACCUUGAAACUAUCUUCUAAAAUCAGAAUGAGAGUCCAGAUGCAUGCUGAAAAGGGUAAUUUCAUUAAAGAGAAACCCAGAGUCCAUGUGAAGAGAGGCGCUCUGCAGAGUAGUGUCUAGCACCAUGUGAGAUGCCCCCAAGGUAUCCAAGACCUCGGUGAAGAACUGGGAAAUAUGACACAAGAUGGAUGGGAUACCUUUGGUCUUCUAGCAUAUCACCUGGAGGCUGAGCCAAAAAGCCCUAAAGGAUCUGAAAAGAUUUUCUUUUCUGAUGUAAUUGAAAAGCACUCAUGAUACAGAAUUUGGUCUGCAUAUCUGCAAGAAGAAUUUUUAAAUCAGCUGGCUUUCUGGGGGAAUGAUUCAUUGUGUGCCCAGAUUCCCUCUGUUUCUCAAUUAAGAAGCUAUGAAUUGAAAACUGGCAUCGACUUUUCACAAUACUGCAAGGUCUAGAUCCCCUUGUGUUUUCAUCCCUCCUGCAACUGAACACUUCAACCUUCAAAAAUUUGUUUUGGCUUUUGAGAUACCUUAGGAGGAAUGCUGCUGAAAUUGGAUUGAGCAACCUGGUCUGAAAUAAAUUUGGCUCCUCACUCUGAAUGGCAGGUUGCGCCAGAGGAUAUCCUGAAAUCCCUUCCAACCUGAAUUAUUCUACCAUUCUGUAUUAUACUGAUGAGAGACCAGAACAGGGCCCAGCUAACCAAGGAUGUAUUUGAAAUUUCAGGUGUACUGGAAAUGUAAACAGCUGACACAAUACAAGAAGUAAAAUUGUACCUUCUAGCAAUAACUGACUUGAAUAAAGUCUCCUACUUUUCUAAGAAAACAAAAGAGAUACAGAUGGAAGUGAAUUAGGAAGAAAAAAAAUCUACUGUUGUGAUGCUUUAAUCUAUUUUAAUAUGUGAGCCUGAAAUUCCUCCUAAAACAAAGUCCCUGAACUUUUAUUAUUAAAAGUAAUAAAAAUUCAAGGACUUUGUUUUAGGAGGAAAUAGAUGCUAGCAGGUAUUUUCUAAGGGUUGAGAUGACACUGGCCUGAAGAAUGACAGCAGGACAGUCAGCUCUGGAGUGUUGCAUCAGUGAUUCUACACACGCCAGCCUAAGCCAGAGCUGCUGAAAUGUGUUCUCAUGACUGGGAAUCCAGCUGCUCUCUCUAGGAUGCAGAUAAAAUACAUACCUGAAGGACAGCAUCCUGUGACAGUGGCCCACAUUCCAGCUGUUUGUGGGGAACUGCUGCCUGUAGGAUGGACUCACAUUGGAGAAGUUCAUGGAGAACUGACUCCCAUGGGAGGAACCCCACAGUGCAGUAGAGGAAGGACUCCUCUUCCUGAGCAGUGGCAGAAACAGCGUGUGAUGAACUGACCAUAACUCCCCAUGCCCUGCCUCCCUGCAUCUCUGAGGGGGAGGAGGUAGAAGGGGGAAGGAGGAAGAGAUGAGAAGUGGAGUAAUUGAGCAGCUUUGAAAUUGAUAUUCCAGAGGAAAUUGGCUACUGCAAGCCUGAAGCUGUCUAAAGAAAUAACUACAUCAGCUAAGCUGCACAUCUACUUCACUUUGAGUGCCUGUGCUUUCAGACUUCCAGUAAAUUCAACAGUUUUCUUUAUGCAUAUAAACAUACCUCAGAAUGGCAGAACCAUUAAUUUAUAUAGUGGGAAUGCAACUUCCUGGAAAGUACACAUUAAAAAAAAAAAAAAUUCACUUGGGAAACAAGGAUUUCCAAAAGGAGACAUGGAAAUAUUCAGGGAAAUGAAUAUUUUGUUAAUUUUUCUGAGUUGAACUGGCUCAUCAUUGAUGACGAAAAAGAAAAAGCGAGCUAAAGAAGAAUCUAACAACUAGAAUAAGAGGUGUCUGGUGACCUAAGAGAUACAAUUUUUUUCAAGGAGAGAAGAGUGUGUUUGCCCACUUGCCACUCUCUGUGCCCACGUGUGAGAUGUUUUUCUGCAGCCUUUUCACUUGAUACUCAGAUCUUCAGGGACUUAGCAGCUCUAGUGCUAAUAUUCCUUAGAUUUGUGUACUCUAAAUCAAGCAGUAAAGAAUGUGAUCAUCUUUGUGAUCUUACUUCUAAGUAAAAUGAAUCAUAGUUUUGAACCAAGAAGCUUUCUCCUCAGGAAACAGCACUGAAGAACAGCACGCUUCAAUGAGAACGUAUAAGUACCUUCAAAUAAUCCAAAAGAAAGAAGAAAUCAGAAUAGCUUUUGAAUAGCUCUACGUAUGUGUAGAAGUGGUUGCAAAAAUAUUUCUCAGCAAAGCAGAAUUGUGUGCCAACUAUUCUUGUUCAGAAAGAAAAAAAAGCUUUCAGUAAGACUUGAAAAGCCACAAGAAAGAUAGAAACCAAGCCAGAAAGGACAGAAGACUGACAGAAAAAACAAAACAGAACUCUAGUAGCCUGAGAACAGAAUGUGUGAAUGAGGCUGUGAGGUGAAAGACAUAGCUGAGGCUGUAAGUACUGCAGAGAGUCUGCUGAAGUUAACUUUGCAUAAACUAUGCAGCAAAUAUAAAAUGGAAAAAAAUAUAGCUGAGAAAAGGGUCAUCUUAGAAUCUGUUUAGCAAACUCUGGGACUGAGUAGCUAAAUGAAAACAGCAUUAAAGUGAUGUGGGCUACAAAAAAAUGUCAUUUUGAAAACAAUCCAGCUCUCCAUCUACUCUGCUAUUCUGUUUUUAGCAGUGACUCUCAGUGCCAUAAUGUGUUUUAAAGAAAGCUGGAAGAAGACAUGUGCUAAGCAAUUAUAAAAUCUGCCCUGAGGAAAAAGUUUCUUUCUUCAACCCAUCAGUUAGAGGACUUCAGCAGACAUUUUCUGCUGAUUACAUGAUAGCUGGGAGAAUUUGCCAUUUUCUUUGUAUAAAAUUACAAAGAACUUCAGCAAGCAGAUGUAUUUAGAAAAGUUCCUGGUGUGUCAAAGAUACUUUGAAAAGCUGACAGAACUCUUCCAGCAGUGGCACCCUUUUGUUGGUCUGCUCUGCAUAUCCUGCUUCAUAAUUGGCUUCGAAGGCUUGCUUUCCAGCCAUACCCACAAAUUGUGGGAGGAAGAAGGUCCUUUGUGUGUGCAAAAAGAUGACUGCAGGGUGAGAUCAUUUCACAUUUGAACAUGGACAGAAUCAGGUCUACCUGAACUCCUAAGACACAGGAAGCCAGAUCAGUGUCAAGAAUAUUCUUCAGUCUUUUCUUGAGCUCAUGAAGCAGGUUGAGAGAAGCAACAUUACUACUGGAAGUAUUGGAAUUUUGUUUUAUAUCAAAGGCAUGUGCUGGGAAAAUAAACCAGUCCAAAGCAAUUGUGUAGCAUGGUUUUCCAAAGACGAAAUAAAUAAACUGAACCACAACAAAAAACUUUUCUCUGCAAAAACAUACAUGUUCCUACCUGACUUGCUUAAAUUAAUUUUCUUUACUGGGAGUGCCAUCCAUUACUUUGAUAUCUUUUAUGUUCGUGAGUUUUGAGGUGAGCUGUCAGAACCACCAUGGUGAUCUUCUUUUGACUUCCUUUGCAUAGAAACUAUAGAACUUCUGUGAGUAAUAUCUGACUGGGAGAUGCACAGUGUUCAGUAGUCAUUGGUCCUAGAUAAAAAACCCCAAGCAUUGAAUCUCUUACUUUUAGUGAUAAGCAAUGUUUAUUAAGUUAUACCAAUGGCUAAUUUCACUCCCUGUUAUAAAGAUGGCAAAAAUAUAUCUAUUUAAUUUAUUAACCUUUAGUCUACAACUUGUACACAUCUCAUUAUAUCUUAAUUUGAGAAACAGAGGAUAUAGAUUUAAAAAUCUGCUUUCUUUGUGUUUUAUGUCUCGGUUGCAUGCUUCUUUGCAAUGUAACUGCACUGAAUUAACUUCUUAACUUCUCUAUAAAGGAAAGAUUAGGAUUCUUUGAAUGUUCAUGGAAGUUUAUAAUUUUUUUCCCAAUUUAUUGAUAUUCUUCCUAAAAUCUGAAGGUCAUACCUGGAUAUAAUGCUCUAAUAGUGGUCAUAUCACUAGCACAGAGUACAAAGAGGUAAUGUAACCUUUCUUCUUCUGCCAUGGCCCACACAAUAAUAAAGUGAGUAAAUAAUCUCAGGAUGCAAACUCUUUGUGCCACAGCCCUGCAUGUUGACUGUAUGAUGUGAUGUCUUCAGAAGUGAAGAGUUGUGCCCCAUAAACUCACUUCCUGCUUCUCAGAAAAUUCACUUAUAUUCAGGAACCUGUGUUAGUGGACAUGAAGAUAUUUCAUGCUUCUGAGACACUUGGAUGAAUCCUUCAAAAUGCCCUGAGCCCUCCUCAAGUUCCUAAGAAAGGGUGAGAGCCACAAUUACAGGCAAGUAGCUGAUCUUACGGAAACAAUAGGCUUCCUUUUAGCACAGUGCAGAGAUCCUCCAAGCUAGCUGGGGUUUUGUGCUUCAAGCCAACUCCGUGAGUUUUGUCUCCACCUUAAUCAACAAAAAGCUCAGUGGAAAAAUUAUCUGCUGCUGCGCCAUGCCCUGAAAUGAUAAAUGAUGCUGUACUUCCUGAGCAGGGACAUUCACCUCCAGGCGCAGCUCUGGCAGUUUAUUUUGUUUUGUUUUCUUUUUGUUUGUAUUUUAAAAAAAUUAUUUUAAAUUGAAAUAGUAUAGCCACAUCCUAUGAUACAGUAUAUCAUAAGAUGUAAUCCCUAGGUAAUCCAAAGGGUAGUGAGCUGAAUAGGAGAAUUUCAGAAAGUGUCUAGACCUGCACUUGGUUUUCUUAAUAAAUGUAGUUUUGUGGGCCUCAAAGGUUUUUUUUUAUAAUCCCUAUUAUUACACCUCGGCAUGAAACCAAAACUUAGAUGACUGCAAAAAGAAUCCAGUCUUUUGAGCAUGUUUCAUAGAUUGGUACACUGACUUUACAUCUAAUAGCAUUUAAUGAAUUUAAUGGAUUUAAUGAAUUUAAUGUGCUCAGAAAAUGUUUGACUGUGCUUAUAUUUUAUGCUGUUGGCACACUUUCAGAGAGUGAAGGUGCCUGUUGCUGUGUUAGACUUUGUAAUUACCUCAUAGCAAGCAACAAACCUCCCACAGAUGAUGAUUUAUCUGUAAUACUUUGUUGUUUUGUGUUGGCUGGUGAAUGUGAUUUUUAUAUCUACUUUGCUUCCAUUUGACCAUACUCCAAAUGUGAUGAAAUCUGGUUACACUUUCUUGCUGCAGGACAGAGCAAUAUGAAAUAUAUGUCAGCAGUUAAAUAUGAAGUGAAGAAAAAUUUUUAAUUGUUUUACAGAUCAAGACUCUGCAUCACAGUGUUUCGUUUUAUGCCUACCAUUAUUAUAAACUCUGUUGGCUUUCUGCUUUGGGGAUGACAAGAUAAUAAGAUGCAAGCAUUGGCUUUUGCCUACCAAAAUCUCCUGUGUUGAAAUCCUGACAAUGCAUCACCAAAAGUGAAGUAACUGAUAAUGGAGGAACAGGAAAAAUAUGCCUUCUCUUGCAGAGAUAACUUGAAAUGCUGAAAAGGAGUGAUCUGGUUUCAACUAAGUCAUGUUUGUCCUGAAUCAAGGACUUUUUUCCUUGUCUCAUGCUCUGCCAGUGAGUAGGCAUACAAAAAACCCCAAGAAACCACAACAAAUCAACCAACAACAACAGAAAAAACACCCUGAAGAAAACCUCUGGGACGGUACAUAGCUGGGAUGUAUUACCUGAACUGAUUAAUGGGAUAUUUCCCACCACAAAAUGCCAUACCUGCUAUAUUAACCAGGGAGUUACCUGGAAGGAAGAGCCAAUCUGCAUUCAAGAGGAGGGGGUCUGGCAUCAGCCAGAGGGUGCGCCUGGAAAACGGAAGACUUUGAAAGGGGAAUCAAUAUGUUAUUCAACUAUGGAAGCAGUCUGCCUUGUACACAACAGGAAAGUACAUUUGCAACAGAAGAUCGAAAGAUCACCUCUUCUGUGCUCCUGGAAUCCUGUGUCCCACAAGUUUGCACCCUGUGGAGAAGGUCAACGAAAAAGGUUCACCACUUUUAUCACCAAGUCAGAAGAUUGCGAAAUCAGAUACCCUUUUGUCUGUGUGCUGUUCUCAAGCCUUCAGAAAAUAGCUGAGGGACACAGAAAUAUUUUUCUUCACCUCCUAUGUGCAGAUGAUGAAGUCUUAAACUUCUGCUGGAUAGAAACCUCUUAGCCUUAUUCCUGCAGUUUUGUAAAUAUUCCAAAACAAAAAUUAUUGACACUUGUAAGAAUUCUGGAUGCUGAUUAGAGAUAUCUUCUUUUUGGCUCUCUAAGAUUUUGCUUCAGUAUCUUCAAGGAACAGUGAAUUCUAUUCUGCUAUGUGGAAGAAAAGAAUUUCAAGCUUCCUUCUCCGAGCCUCUGCCAGUUUGACACUUCUUUUGAAACCCUGUGAUCAAUGCUGCACAUAAUAUUCUGGAGGAGAUGACAUUUUAGAUGGAUAUGUGGUGCAGAAGUGCCCAGAGCACUGAAGAUGUUUGUGUGGAAGAGCCUGCUUUAGCCAUCCCUUGAUGCCUGAGGUCUGCCAGAGACAGAUGUGUAAACUACAGCUUUUAAAUUAUAUGGAGGAUGUAGGUUAGGAUACGUGGAUGGUGCUUGCUUCAAUGUGGCAGGGGGCUGGAAGAGGCUCUUAAGUCUGCUAGGAAAAUGUUCCUGCCUGUCUUGUUCAUGCUGCUCAGUUACAUGGCCAGAAGACACUCCUCCUAAGAGAAAAAGAAAUGGUGAUAACCAGCAGAGGAGACUGAGAUUGGUGCCUGUUUUUUCUUCAGUUGUCAGAGGCUUCACAGAAGACUUUCUUCCUAUAAACUGAAGAGUUGAGGUGGAUCAUGUGGGACUGUGAACCCUACAAGAUGACAAAGAAUUUAAGCCCAAGUCACCAGCACCUGUGAUCCCCCUCUCCUCAAGCUUUAUGUGUGUAUUGAUGAUGAACAGUGACAUCAGAACAGUGAACAAGUGGCUCUCCCAUUAUUUCCCUUACCUCUGACUGCUGAAAGAUCCAAUUCUCAAAGAGUUAUAGAGCUCUUGCAUAGAGAAAAAGAGCUUCAGAAAGAAAAAAGAAUAAAGCUGACUCCUACUCCAUCUGCCUAGCAGAAAACAGAAGCAGCCUCAGAUGACAACUUGGAUAAUUUUCCAGGUAAAUCCUACUUCAGCUACAAAAAAGACACUAAAUAAGACUCAGAGCAUGAUCAGUUAACAGAUCAUGGUUCCAGCUGUCCUUGAAGUACAUGUGAAAUCAGACAUUGAUGUUAAUAGAAGCUCUGCUGGACCCUGAGUAACUGAAAUAAUGCAGAAAGCUACAGUCCUCACCGUGAAUAUCGCCUAAAAGACUGUUCUGCACCUCGGCACCUGGCAUCACUUGGUGACCUCCCUGAGGCUAAACACAAAGGAAAUUGUUGGAUUUCAAAAGCAAAGAUCUAUCCUCUGCUUGCAGAAUGCACCUUUCUAAAGGAAGAGUCACCAAAUGAGAAAGGGAUGGUUUAUGCACAAGUUACCCUCCAUCAAUUUUGAGCAAGUUAUAAGAACAGCAGCUUCCAUAAGCUUUGGUCCUGAGUGAGGCAAUAGCCUGUGGUGAAUAUCUGUGAUCCUGGUGCUGAAGGUCAUGUCAUAAACAUAAUGACAAAGGAAUUACAAUUGUCCAAGGAAAUAUACUAAAGGAAACAAAACCUUCCUAAUGUGCCAAGCAGCAAAAUGAGCUCAAUGAGCUCAUACUUCUGUGGCAUUUCUGCCACCACAUCAGGAAAUAGUUGCUAUGGAGCGAAGGUUGCUGCUAAGGUGACUGAAAGGGAACAACAAGUAUCCCAAAACAUGCAUUGGACUUGAUUCAAUGAGAAUAUCAACCAGCAAGAACUACAGUAUUGAAAACCUAUGCAAAAAAUUCUCAUUCAUUUGGAAUUUCUACUUAAAUUAUGGAUUGUCCUUUCCUCAGUAUUUCCUCCUAAUUCUGCUACACUUUCUGCUCUGUUUGACAUCCUAAUUGCCUAAAGAUAAAAGUCUUCUUCCUCUCAUUUGUUGAUAUUUCCUUUCAGGAUUAUUAAGUAUAAUUGCUUAUAUCCACCUCUGGUUGACUGAUGUUCAGACAGUUUCUGAUGCAGUGAAACAAUGAGCUAUUUUUUUUUGCUGUAGGUGUAUUGUCUGAGAUAUAAUAACUGUGGUACAGAUCUGUUGCAUGCAAUGAAGAUGACUUCACUGUUUGCUGUUGUACACAGAGCAUUGCAGUGAAAUAUGCACAACUUGUUACUACUUGGAAUUCUGACUUAUUAUUCUGGUUUGUUUUCCUGUUCUGUCAACCUUUCUGUUGCAAAGAGAUAAGUCUUAGUAGGCUUUUAAUUUAAUGUAUGUGCAUUUUUUAUAUUAAUAAUAAUUAAUAUUUAAAUGUGCCUUAGUACAUGUAGAAAAUAUAUUAUGAACUGAUUAGAGGUGAUUAUUAAUUUUUAAUUAGUCAAAUGAAAUCCACUAAUGUGUUCAAUUCAGCAGAAAAUCUACAAAUUUCUGAUCUUUUCAGUUUUUAAAAGAGUAAUUCCAGGAUAGAAUAAGUGGUGUUCUUGCUUUCAUGGCUCAUGUCAUGAAAAAAAUCAGAUUAAAAAAACAGAAGCCAGCUUCUAAGGCAAAGAGUAAAAACUUCAACUUCCAAGAAGUGUUCUUCUAGAUAGUUCUAUGCACCUGCUGAUAUGUUUAAAGAUGAAUUAAUGAAACAGUAAUUUCUAACAAAAGGAGGUUUUGCUUGUUUACUUACUUAUCUGUUUGUUCUCCCUGGCUGCUCUGAGGAAAUUUAUACAUCAGAUAUGUCUAUCUAUAUAGCAGAAUCUAAGGAAGCUGCCACAGCUGAAAUUCAGUAGUCAUUGAAAAGGAACUCUUAAUCAUCCAAAUAAAAAAAAAAAUCAAGAUAAUAGAUGCUCAAGGAGCAUUUAUCAUCUUUUUCCAUUUUUCAAAUUGCCUUUCAAAAAAUUUUUUUUUCCUCAGAGUAAUGGUGCUAUUUGGAAAUGUAAAACUGGAUGAACACUAGGAAAGGCAAUGGUGCAAGAUGGUUGGCAUGUGGUUAGCAAGACUACCCAUCCUUAUCAGAAAGCAUUGUUCUGUCUCUGUAGAGAUGUUUUCUUUUGAGCAGAAUUCUGCCUCAAUGGACCAAAAAUAACUUGUGAAGAUCAGAGCAAGUCAUCUGUCACUAUAGGUGAAUGCCAAAUAAUUUUCGCUGGUCAACUGGUGCCAGCAAAAAGGUAAAAGAGAAUGAUUCUUUCAUUGGCUGAAUACUGCACCAAGAAGGGAUUUCUGUAAAUAAUGUAACUUGCAUAGAGAACAAGGCACUGAUAUCAAUCUCAAAUACAUAUAACCUUCUAACAUCAACCAUCAUUCAUGUUUGUUUUCAACCCUCUCCCACAGAGAGUGGAGAGUGAAUGGGUUGUGUGGGUACUUGGCUGGUACCCUGGUGGUCAUGGACUCAAACUAGAGCACAAUGUGGAGCAAAAGCGGUUGCAGAAAUAUAUGAGAAAAGCAAAGGAAUUUGCCCCAUUUCCUCUUUCCUCAUGAAUCAAAAACAAGUCAUCAAUGGCAUUUUGUCAGAUUUACAGGUUCCUGCUGACUUUUUUUGGAUAAAACAAUAGGAUUGAUAGAUAUCACUACUUGAUGAGAUCAUGUACUCAGUUUUGUCCUCUGGAGAACUACUUAGUAAUUUUGGUACACUGGCCAAGCAGAAUAUUUUGGCAGAUCGAAGAAGGGGCAGCAGAACAGCCAAGCGCCAGUUCUAGAUGUCAUUAUUAUUAUUAUAAAGCUAUUGAUCCCCCAGGAGGCCACAGGGGGAGUUAAGCUGCCUUAACACCUCUUCACCACUCAGCUUCCACCUUUCCACAUUGUGUUGAUUAGUGAACGCCAUCUCUCUAGGAUUUUAUGGUAAUAGGCAAGUUCAUAACACUAUUUUGUCAAGUAAGACACUAAAAAUAGUGCAAUUAAUGUAAACGUUUAUAAUUAUUUUUAGUCACUACUUUUCUAAUAUUGGUGCCAUAGAGUUUCAUUUCUUUGUAUUAGAACAAAUGCAAUUAUGCUGCCAAUUUUUAGAUUAAAUUAAUAAAAGCUAUAAAAAUAAGUUAAGCAAACAUAUGGUUCUUUUCAGCUCUCUUUCAUGCAAAUAGCAAGCAAAAAUAUUUGUUUUCCCAGAUAUCGAAUUUCUGUUGGCCAAAUUGUGCCUAUGGGUAUAACCAUGCUGAGGUUGUUUAAAGUAUGUUUUUAUUUUCUGUAACAAUUGAUGUUUUAGGGAAUCUCAGGAAACUUGCCUGAAGGAGUUUUUCUUUAUAGUGAUAGGAAAAAAACCCUAUUCAUUGAAAAGAUAAGCCACACCAAUUUUCAGGUUCUAAUGAGCAUUAUAAAUUAAUGGAACUCCUAAAGGGGAAUCAGAGGUAUUUUGUUUCAAAAAGUAUUUGCUUGGAUUUCUCAUUAAUUAAAUAUGAUUUCAAGUAUGAAAGUAGAUAAAAUUGAUUCUGUACUAAUCAACACAUAUUGCCUGCCUAUGGCAUUAAUAUUAUGCUGAUGUACUCAGUGAGAGUGGUCUGAAAUCAAUAUAAAAGCCCUUAAAGCAAUGUUCAUAGCUUUAAGCUGUGAUGUUUUCAGGCUGUUUGUUUUAUAAUUAACAAAGCUAACAAAUUGUACAAAGAAAAAAUAUUAAACUAGAUUCUCUGUGAAGGAAAAAAGAGUAUUUUAUUAAGACUGAAAGUUUUUGUUCUUCAUCUCUUACAGCAAAUUACAUUUGUUUGUGCAAGAAGGUAAUUAUGGAAACCACUUAUAAGUUUCUUGGGUUCAUACAUUUGGGGCCUACUUAAUUUGGAAAUGGAUUUGAUUUUCUUGUUAACAAAAGCAUUCAGAUUGAAAAUUUUUAGUUUAAUUGUUUACCAUUUUGGUCAUAAUUAUUUUUAUUUAGACUAUAAGGCUUCUACAAUCAGUAUCUUGCCUUCACAUAUUUUUGUACUAUCACAAUUUUAUAUGGAUGAGAAGUUCGGAAUUCACUUGUAAGAUCUUACUGUGUUAGAUCCAUUACACAGUAAUUGUAGUGUAUCUUAGAAAAUUCCAGCUUCCUCGUACCUGGGGAAGACUUUGUAUGUUACAUUUUAACCUCAACAGAGAAAUAAAGUAAUGUAUAAAACAAAUGCUAAUAAUUUAAGUGAUGCUACUUUAAACACUGGAAAUACUUGUAUAAUUCUAACUUUUUGAGGAGGUCAUGCUCUCUCAUUCAUAAGUGUUUCAAUUUAUUGGAAAAAACUC